AGUGAACGCUGGCGGUAGGCCUAACACAUGCAAGUCGAACGGCAGCACAGUAAGAGCUUGCUCUUACGGGUGGCGAGUGGCGGACGGGUGAGGAAUACACCGGAAUCUACUUUUUCGUGGGGGAUAACGUAGGGAAACUUACGCUAAUACCGCAUACGACCUACGGGUGAAAGCAGGGGAUCUUCGGACCUUGCGCGAUUGAAUGAGCCGAUGUCGGAUUAGCUAGUUGGCGGGGUAAAGGCCCACCAAGGCGACGAUCCGUAGCUGGUCUGAGAGGAUGAUCAGCCACACUGGAGCUGAGACACGGUCCAGACUCCUACGGGAGGCAGCAGUGGGGAAUAUUGGACAAUGGGCGCAAGCCUGAUCCAGCCAUACCGCGUGGGUGAAGAAGGCCUUCGGGUUGUAAAGCCCUUUUGUUGGGAAAGAAAAGCAGCAGGUUAAUACCCCGCUGUUCUGACGGUACCCAAAGAAUAAGCACCGGCUAACUUCGUG
rnacentral:rRNA from 1 species